CAUCAUUAUCAUCAUCGUUGAUCAUGAUCACCAUUUCCAUUGUCAUUAUCACCAUUGUCAUUCAUAUCCGCGUUUAUCAAUUACGUUGUUAUCGAUGUCAUCAAUAUAUUGAUACGUCGCUGUUGACUGAAAACGGUUGUCGGCCGUGACGGCGGCCAUGACGUUUCAAUAUCGGGAAACCAACUGAAUCAUAUUCGCAUUACAUAGGAGUAAGAAGGAAAUGACGUACCAAUGUUGAGAGAACUUGUUUGUGCCUACGACUCUCUUCUUGAAACACGGGGACGCUUUUUAAUACACCGCCGCGUUGUGCGAUGGAUACACGUUGGCGACUCGUCGUGCGAUCGCAUGUAUAAUCGUGAAUUAUAACGAAUUGAACCUACCGCAGAUCUCAUUGUAUUCACAGUCCCCCUGCAGGAUAAGCGAGCAUAACGUGUUCCCGAAUUUGUUAUAAUCAUGAUUUCGAUUGUCACGAAAUCCGAUUAUAAUCUUCUUGAAAGGCAUGAAACUGAAAAGGGGUAAAAAAACGACGAUCGCAUGUAUACUGGCCCGCAGGGAUGGGAUUGAGACAUUGGAUAUAUCUGUAAAUAAAUGCUCUCAUUUUGCCCUCGUCGAGUCCACAAAUUAUAAAUCAUGCGCGUCAUGAAUCGUGAGAACAUAUAAUGCUAUGUAUAAAGUGAAAGUUCGCGUUCUCCUGAUUUUAUUUAAAUACUUUUUUUAUUUCGAUUUUUCUUUUAAUCCACCGUCCAAUACGUGAUACAGAAUGAUUCUAAUGCAUUGAAAUAUUUAUAUUAGGAUAUAUGUAGUAUAUACGAGCCUUCCGUAUAGUAAAUAAUUUUUAUAUAACUUUAAUUUUGAGUUAUAUAUUGUAGAUGUGAAAGAGUAGUAUUAGCAUUAGCGUUAUUAAUAAGCGCUAUCGAAAUAAUACUGAAUCGUAUCCAUAUAAAAGUCCAUACUAAAAUCGAAACUCCCAAUGCAUUAAUUUGUCGAAAUAAUUUCUUUGAUAUGUGUACACUGCCUAUUUUUUCUACACGGGAAUUAUGAACGCACGAUAGUUCUAUUAUCACUAUAUAAAUCGUAAUUAAUAUAUAUUAAGGAACGUUUUGCUACGAGCUUCUCGAAAUGCGAAAUGUCUUUUUGUGAAUAAUAUUUCUCGAUACGAUUAUGAUUAUUGUUCGCGUAUUAUUUAUGAUAAUUUCUCAUCCGCUCGCGUACACCUGUAAUUUUCAAAUAACAGUGGUAAAUCGCGCAGAAAUCGCAUAGUUUCCGUGCUACAUUUUUCGAAGCAAUAUCAUAAGAUUCGGUUUCAUGCCUUCCAAAAUGAAAUUAUCAUGUGAGAAAGUGAUCUAUCGCGAUGAACAAUUGAAACAAUUACAUUUUACAUAACAUAUCGAUGAAGUAAGAUUUUUUCUGUCUGUAGACUCUAUAGCGUAUAUAAUGAAAAUUUAGUAACACGUAAAUGCGAGGAAAUUAUGUGACAUAGCCGAAAUUAUAUGACAUUGCAGUCAAAUUCGUGUUCCAUCACCAGUGUGUAUCGAUUAAAAAAAAAGGGAAAAGAAAGAAAAAAAACGAUAAAAGAAACAGAAAAGAAAAGCGUUUCUUUCGAUACAAAUUAUCUCCUCUGCGAAAAGAGUGCGAUGAUGGAUAGCCCUUGUUUCUUGAUCCAUGCGCAUUUUCGAUUAUUAAAAAGGACAUUAACGAACAAAUGAGAGAAAGGAAAGAAUCAACGGUGUGUCCACGCUUGGUUCUAUUUCGAUGUUCUUGAUAUAAAAAUUUAUGUCGCAAUCAAUAAUAAAAACUAGAAUCGACCAUACGUGAUUUUCGAGACAGAUUGAUCUAAAUACGAAAAAAAUGAAUUGAGUACGGUGUAUAUGCAAUAACAUAAAAUUCAUUUUGUAAUGAACUCACUCUGCUGUAAACAUUUAAUCCUCUAUUUUUCAUGAUGAGGAGAGCCUUACUGUCGCGAGGCAUUUCUAAGGAUUAACACGUGCGAUUUUCUGCUAAUGGCUCGCGACGAAACGUUUUAAGUAACCAAGAGACAAAUCAGAAAAUAUGUAUGAAAACCUGGGGAACAUAGAGCAAGGACCUCAUCAGUCAUAUUGAUUAAACAAGAACAUGGUAAACAGUAGAGAUCGAAUAAGGAGUAGAGGCGCGGAGAUGGCGAGUGUUGAAGAAACGUAUGUUACGUCCAAUGAUCCACACGCUAGUCUGACCGAUGAUUUCGUACCACUCCCAAGAUAUAUAUGCGCAUACGUACUAUGUAACACGCCUGUACACCACGUUGUAUCCACAUUGAAUACCUUAAGUACUUCUCGGCAAGCGCGUCCGACAACAGAAAAACCAUGUACUUACGGAACUAUCACAUACUUCUACCGUGUAUAUUUGACAUCAUGCGUACUCUCGUAAGAUAAAAGGCAAACGAGAGACAGAAGAGAGGGAGGGAAUCAUUCCGUCGAACAUCUUGAAAAGUAAUACGCUUAAAAACAUAGAGAUAUAAUAAGCUUACUCUAUGAAUUUCAUCUUUCUCUCUCUCUCCCUCUCUUUUUCUCCCUCUCAUUAACUGUAUCUUCCUACUGUCGACACACCGCGAGAGCAUCGUUCCUUUCUUUUAUAAGCUUGAAACGCAAUUGGCGAGCGACCGUCGAAACAACCAGUCGUUCUACAUUUAUAUCAGCGGACGCAGAAAGUGAAUGAGUGAUCCGAUGAAUGCCUGACGUUGGAUGAUAUCCGCGUGCGUGGAAAGAGAACGAAUCGUUGAAAAAAGAUGUUAAGUUUUCUCCCGGCGCGACUUCGCGUGAGUCGUAUCCGCCGUAUUUCCGUACUUGUAUAUAAGACGCUAGAUCGCAAUUGUUGCGUACGCGGAUCACGUGAGCGAAUCGCGUCCUUGCGAAUAAAAUUUGUUCGCGCGAUAAAUCCAAUAGCGAGCGGCAUAUACGAUUGUAAGUUUCAAUCAGGUGAUUUCUGAUUAGAGGAGAGCACGUGCGUGCGCGAGAGGUCCAUGUAGGCGCAACAUAGAAGAAAAAAAGAGAAAGUCUCUGAUAUUUAUUAUAUCACUGUCCUGUCACCGAGGAAUCCGUUUUGGCGUAAUUAUAAUAAAUCCUGCUGUGCAACCACGUUGCGUAAGGAUGUUUAGCCCGUAGUUUUCUAGCCGAUUUUUCAAAGCGCACGCGCGCGCAAAGUCACGAUUUUUAAUAUAACACGACUGACUGCUGGUUAAGUAUGGUUGUGAGCAAAUCCUGUCUCCUCGGAUAUUGUAGACACACACACACACACGCGCGCGCGCGCGCGCGCAUAUACACACAAUUUACACGCAAAAAAUAUACAAAACUUAUACAUUUUUCCAGUUCCCCUAGAUAUGUAUCUUGCACAGAGAGAAGAGCGAUUGUUGCAUACGUGGGAAGAUUAAGACUUGUAAUCCAAAAUGAGAGAGAAAGAAAGAUCAUCUCCGCUCAAGAGAUACUUUUCUUUUUCUUCUUUUUUGUAUAUUUGUAAAUUGGUACGAGUAGGAGAGAUUGGGGCCAGGAUCGAUAUAUCCUCGGUGUUUUUCAUUCCAUGGCUCAUUGAUCGAAGAGCAGCAUAUACAGCGAUAAAUGGGGUCGUGCGUAUCUGGAAAAAAAAUGAGGCUGCGUAAUUAAUUAUCUUGUUACGUAAAACGUAAUUUCGAGAGAAAGAGAGAUUGGAUGAUCAUGCGUUUCCCUUCGUGUGUUGUGAUCGUUUAAUUGCAUAAAUAUGUCGAUUCGACGAUGUUAGAGAGAUGUUGAUUGGGAGAUUCCUGAGAUUAAUUUAAUCAGCACUAUAGUUUCUUCAUAGUGAGGCUUAUGUGUAUACAUUUUUUGACUUACUAUAUGUUCGUACUGUUUUAAUGGACGAAUUGUUGAACAAUAAAAUCGCUGAUUGCUACGAUAA